UGGGGAAUAUUGGACAAUGGGGGGAACCCUGAUCCAGCCAUGCCGCGUGUGUGAAGAAGGCCUUUUGGUUGUAAAGCACUUUAAGCAGGGAGGAGAGGCUAAUGGUUAAUACCCAUUAGACGAGACGUUACCUGCAGAAUAAGCACCGGCUAACUCUGUGCCAGCAGCCGCGGUAAUACAGAGGGUGCGAGCGCUAAUCGGAAUUACUGGGCGUAAAGCGAGUGUAGGUGGCUCAUUAAGUCACAUGUGAAAUCCCCGGGCUCAACCUGGGAACUGCAUGUGAUACUGGUGGUGCUAGAAUAUGUGAGAGGGAAGUAGAAUUCCAGGUGUAGCGGUGAAAUGCGUAGAGAUCUGGAGGAAUACCGAUGGCGAAGGCAGCUUCCUGGCAUAAUAUUGACACUGAGAUUCGAAAGCGUGGGUAGCAAACA
rnacentral:rRNA from 1 species